rnacentral:rRNA from 1 species
AUGACGGCACAUGUGGCUGACUUUGGCAUUGCAAGGUUGAUGCUAGAUGACAACUCCGUGAUAUGUGCGAGCAUGCCUGGAACAGUUGGGUACAUGGCACCAGAGUACGGAUCACUUGGAAAAGCCUCAAGGAAGAGCGACGUUUUUAGUUAUGGAAUCAUGCUCCUUGAAGUCUUCACCGGAAGAAGACCCACUGAUGUCAUGUUCGGCACACAACUAACCCUUAGGAAGUGGGUUCAUCACGCAUUUCCUGCUGAGCUUGUCCGAGUCGUCGAUGGCCAGCUUCUGCAAGGCUCCUCCCUUUCAAGUUGCAGGUUGGACAAUGGCAUUCUUGCAUCAGUCUUUGAGGUGGGUUUGCGAUGUUCUAGUGACUCUCCACAACAGACGAUGACAAUGCGUGAUGUGGUCGUGACGCUGAAGAACAUCAAAGCCGAGCACACCAAAUUUGUAGCAACUACACCAACUAGUGCAGCACGGUGA